CAAGCAUCAGCUUUGGUUCUUAUGACGCAGUCACUAACAUCACACACGACCAAAACAGCAGGGCGCUCUCUCAAGUCUCCUCUUACUGUGCCAUCGUGGGGAACAGUCUCAUAGCAUGAUAUGGAGCUGGAGAGGAGGGGAGAGGAGAACAGAAGGCAAGGUGGGAAAGGACACCUGGCAGAGACAACAUCUGGAUCCUGAACCUGGAGGAGAAAUCCACUUAUAUCUCACUUUAGAUUUGCCAGCUGCUUUUAUUUUUAUUUGGACUUACAGAAAGGUGAGGCUGGGUGUGGUGUCUCAUGCCUGUAAUCCCAGCACUUUGGGAGGCCGAGGCAGGUGGAUCACGAGGUCAGGAGAUGGAGACCAUCCUGGCCUACAUGGUGAAACCCCAUCUCUACUAAAACACAAAAAAAAUUAGCUGGGAGUGGUGGUGUGCGCCUGUAGUCCCAGCUACUCGGGAGGCUGAGG
rnacentral:lncRNA from 1 species